rnacentral:rRNA from 1 species
UGGGGAAUAUUGCACAAUGGGCGCAAGCCUGAUGCAGCCAUGCCGCGUGUAUGAAGAAGGCCUUCGGGUUGUAAAGUACUUUCAGUCGGGAGGAAGGUGGUAAGGUUAAUAACCUUGGCAAUUGACGUUACCGACAGAAGAAGCACCGGCUAACUCCGUGCUAGCAGCCGCGGUAAUACGGAGGGUGCAAGCGUUAAUCGGAAUUACUGGGCGUAAAGCGCACGCAGGCGGUUGAUUGAGUCAGAUGUGAAAUCCCCGGGCUUAACCCGGGAAUUGCAUCUGAUACUGGUCAGCUAGAGUCUUGUAGAGGGGGGUAGAAUUCCAUGUGUAGCGGUGAAAUGCGUAGAGAUGUGGAGGAAUACCGGUCGCGAAGGCGGCCCCCUGGACAAAGACUGACGCUCAGGUGCGAAAGCGUGGGGAGCAAACAGG